ensembl:lncRNA
GCUCCCUUCUGUGGGCUCAAUUCCCUGUUGUCACCUCUGUGAGCUCUCCAGCACCUCCGGAAUGGAGGCUCCUUGGGCCUGGCUUGCUUGACAUGGAUCUCCAGGCACACCUUGCCAGAGGUGCCUCCCAGGCUCGGUGCCUCCGUGGUGAUUCCCAGCUGCUUCCCGAGGCUCUCCCCAUCAGCCCGGUGCCAGCAGAGGGCCUCCCUUACCAGCACAGCACCGUCUGGAAAUUAUAAAACACAUUAUCUAUUUGGCAAAACUUUGUGCAAGGAUCAGGAAAAGGGCUGGAAUCCGUUCUCCUCCAGGAGACCGGAGACAGCGUGUCCCCCCCGGCUUCUGUUUUCAAUGCCAGCACUCAGCCGCGUUAAAGCCGUGGGAGCGUUCGUCAUUAAAAUGGCAAUUGUGGAGCCAGGCAAUAAAUUUAACAUCAUAAAAGGCGCUGGGAGGGUCUCGCUCAUCUGUUGCUCUUCAAAGAAAAGUGUUAGUUGCUUCCGAAAGAAAAAAAAAAUGGGAAGAAGCAGGUCGGAGUAUUUUCCAGGCUGGGUUUCCAUCGAGGGGGUGCGGACACGCUCAGGCAAUACCGCCAUGUGUUUACAGCUCAGCUCCCGGCGUUAUUUAGGGAUUGUAAAACCACAGCAGCUCGCUCGCUCGCUCCCCCCAGCUCGUCGCAGCCAAUUUUUUUCCUCCAUGCGGCUCUCGUUGCAGCGGCAAAGGUCAACCCCGCUCCUUUGAAAGCAGCACCCCCCUCCCUUAUCAGAUUUAGGAAUCCUUGGGGGAGGUUGAAGCCGAAAUGCAGGCAAAGCCAGCUGGCCGCGGUCCGGCCGGGGGGGCGGUGGGGAUGGAGGGUGGGGAGGAAGGAUGGAGGUGGGAGGAGGAGGAGGGCGGUGGGAUGCGCCCCCGCGCCCGGGCGGGGCAGCACCGACAGCAGCGGGCGGUGAAUAAUGGGGGCACAGAUAAUACAGCUGAUUAGCGGCCGCGCAGGGCUGGGGAGGGGGAAUUGGAUGGGACCAAAAAAAUCGCUGCCAGGGUGAAGUCAGCGUGGCUCGGGGGGGGGGUGUGGGGUCACAGUGAUGGGAUAGUCCCCAUGGCAGAGUCAGCGUGGCUCGGGGUGGGGGUGUGGGGUCACAGUGAUGGGAUAGUCCCCAUGGCAGAGAGAGGGGGGUCACAGUGAUGGGAUAGUCCCCAUGACAAAUGUCUGGAGUGCUGGCAGGGCCUGGAAAUGGUCACCUGGGAUAAUCUUCUCUGGGGGGCACUCCCAGCCUUUCUCCCCACUCCAAACUGGGCAGCCAUGGGGCACCUCAGUGAGGAUAAGCGUGGGAAGAGCCCUUUGGGGUCAUGGCCAUUGAUGGGGUGACCAAGUGAUGGCAGAAAGUGGCAUUGGGGCAUCCUGGUGAGAGGGAAGGAGGCAGGAGGGAGCAGGGGAAGAGAGAUGAGGACAGAACCCAGGUGUGGGGCAGAGCUCAGAGGUGGGGCAGGAGGCCCUGUCAGUGCUGUGGGCACCCCCAGCCCUGCUGCUCUCCUGGAGAUGUCCCCUGCUGGUCUUGUCCUGGCCCAGGCACAACUCACGCCUUCAAACUUUGCCAGGGACGGAUUUUAAUUAAAACCAGAAGACGCCGCGCCGCGCCCCGGCCCUUCAGGGAUGACCACUGCUCACGUCCUCCGCCUUUGGUCUUCCUGCCUGCACAGCUUGACACGGCGAGAUGAAAGUCCCUCCCUGCCAAAAAAGCACCAGGACAAAAGGGCAGUCGUAAAACCAUGCCGCCAAGAAGUCCCCAGCCGAGGGUCCAGCGAGGUCCUGCUGGCCAGGAGCCGUGGCCAGAGGCGGGGAGCCGUGGCCAGAGGCGAGCAGCAGCCUGGGGAGUGGGGCUGCUGCCUUCAGCCCUUCUAAAAAUAACAGCUCCGAGUGCAGCGAGCGCCUAACUGGAACCAGCUUUCCAAACUCCCAGCUGGAAGCAGCUUUAGGAGCCUGCACCAGCCUUUCUGGGAAAGAGCAAUUAAAAAUAGCGAGAGACUGAAAGCGCUGUCCCUGCUGCCCAUCCGGCCGCUGCGUGGGGAGGACACGGAGAGCCAGGUUUGGAGGCAGGUGGUUCCCUUUGCUCAGCUUGGAAAGGCCAGCAGUGCCUAGAGGUGGAGCUGGAAGGAUGUCAUGGGGGGAUUCAGCUUCCCUGAUGCCAGGAGAAAGGGGGCAGUGGACUCAGAGCCCCCCAAGGAGAGCAGCUGGGAUUACUCCAGCAUUGUCACCUGCUGGUUGUGGCUGCUGGAGCUGCAUGGAGCUGGGACCUAGAAGGGUGAAGGCCAGGCUGUCCCAGGGAGGUGUAGAUAGAACAACAGUGGGAGUGGGAGUGGGAGGGGGAUUCUGGGGACAGGUGAGGGGCUCUGAGUAUCCCAGAUGGGCUCCAGCUCAUCCACUUGCCUGGGAUCCAGGCCAUCCAUCCCCACAGGCUCCACUCCACCCGCUUACAUGGGAUCCAACAUAUCCACCCUCAUGAUCUCCAGCUCGUGGAUACAUGCUCUCCAUCCCACUCCCUCUGGGGCUCAGCCCCAUCAGUCCUGUGGGUGCCCAUGGCUGGUGGCAUGUGCCUGAUGUCCCAAGCCAGGCUCAUCAGCUCUGUGCCCAGCCCUCCAUUCCAUGGCAUAGAGCCUGCACCCCCACGUGCUGCUGCUCCUGCUGCUCCCCAGCUCCCCCAGCUCCCUGUGCUCCCCCUGCUCCCAGUGCUCCCCCUGCUCCCUGUGCUCCCCCUGCUCCCCAGCUCCCCCUGCUCCCUGUGCUCCCACUGCUCCCCAGCUGGGGGGGGGGGGGGGGGGGGGGGGGGGGGGGGGGGGGGGGGGGGGGGGGGGGGGGG